UGCGGAGGGAGCUAGCGUUGUUCGGAAUUACUGGGCGUAAAGCGCACGUAGGCGGCUUUGUAAGUUAGAGGUGAAAGCCCGGGGCUCAACUCCGGAAUAGCCUUUGAGACUGGAUUGCUUGAAUCCGGGAGAGGUGAGUGGAAUUCCGAGUGUAGAGGUGAAAUUCGUAGAUAUUCGGAAGAACACCAGUGGCGAAGGCGGCUCACUGGACCGGCAUUGACGCUGAGGUGCGAAAGCGUGGGGAGCAAACAGGAUUAGAUACCCCGGUAGU
rnacentral:rRNA from 1 species